rnacentral:rRNA from 1 species
UACGAAGGGGGCUAGCGUUGUUCGGAAUUACUGGGCGUAAAGCGCACGUAGGCGGAUAUUUAAGUCAGGGGUGAAAUCCCAGAGCUCAACUCUGGAACUGCCUUUGAUACUGGGUAUCUUGAGUAUGGAAGAGGUAAGUGGAAUUGCGAGUGUAGAGGUGAAAUUCGUAGAUAUUCGCAGGAACACCAGUGGCGAAGGCGGCUUACUGGUCCAUAACUGACGCUGAGGUGCGAAAGCGUGGGGAGCAAACAGGAGUUAAGAAACCUUUGAUGAACCGUUCCGAA